rnacentral:rRNA from 1 species
GACGAACGCUGGCGGCGUGCUUAACACAUGCAAGUCGAGCGGUAAGGCCUUUCGGGGUACACGAGCGGCGAACGGGUGAGUAACACGUGGGUGACCUGCCCUCCUCUCUGGGAUAAGCCUGGGAAACUGGGUCUAAUACCGGAUAUUCACUGCUCAUUGCAUGGUGGGUGGUGGAAAGUUUUUUCGGUGGGGGAUGGGCCCGCGGCCUAUCAGCUUGUUGGUGGGGUGAUGGCCUACCAAGGCGACGACGGGUAGCCGGCCUGAGAGGGCGACCGGCCACACUGGGACAGGGACGCCGCCCAGACUCCUACGGGAGGCAGGAGUGGGGAAUAUUGCGCAAUGGGCGGAAGCCGGGCGCAGCGACGCCGCGUGGGGGAUGACGGCCUUCGGGUUGUAAACCUCUUUCGACCUCGACGAAGAGUGAUUGACGGUAGGGGUGGAAGAAGCACCGGCCAACUACGUGCCAGCAGCCGCCGUAAUAC